AACGAACGCUGGCGGCAGGCUUAACACAUGCAAGUCGAGCGCGUAGCAAUACGAGCGGCAGACGGGUGAGUAACGCGUGGGAAUCUACCCAUCCCUACGGAACAACUCCGGGAAACUGGAGCUAAUACCGUAUACGCCCUAACGGGGAAAGAUUUAUGGGGGAUGGAUGAGCCCGCGUUGGAUUAGCUAGUUGGUGGGGUAAAGGCCUACCAAGGCGACGAUCCAUAGCUGGUCUGAGAGGAUGAUCAGCAACAUUGGGACUGAGACACGGCCAAAACUCCUACGGGAGGCAGCAGUGGGGAAUUUUGGCAAAGGGGCGAAAGCCUGAUCCAGCCAUGCCGCGGGAAUGAUGAAGGCCUUAGGGUUGUAAAGUUCUUUCACCGGAGAAGAUAAUGACGGUAUCCGGAGAAGAAGCCCCGGCUAACUUCGUGCCAGCCGCCGCAGUAA
rnacentral:rRNA from 1 species